CUGACCGCUCUGGGACCUAUGCUGCAACCAGUCUGCUUGCAGUUGUCAGUUAUCGUCAGGUAUGUGGAUGAUUAGGGCUUUAUUCAGGAAUGUUUCUUGGGCUACUUUGAUGUGUCAAGUGGGCGAGAUGUGCAGUCUGUGUUUGACUUUAUGAAUUUUGAAAUGUCUGAGUUUAACUUCGUAGAGAAACUCGUUGUCCAAACCUAUGAUGGCGCAGCUGUAAUGUCUCUGCUAUUUGUAUUUACAGCUAAGUCCCCUCCUGCUCCCUGAUUAAGAGGUGAUGACUACUCCACUCCACUACCACUGUCAACUUUCUCCUGACAUGAACUGAAGCCACAAUGUCUCAUGUGCCCAUUCAUCCACUGGCACAUUGAAUUCCCUUCCAAGCACUUAAAAUCCUGUCCUGCACUGGUCAAGCCUCUGAACACCUCAACUCAUGCCUCAUACCUUCAUUCAAUCACUGCUGUGAUCCCUUCCCAACACUAUACGGGAGAACCAGUAGUGGGCAGAGCUCGGUGGAAAAGGGACGUGUUGAUUCUCCAAACGGAGGACUUACCUGACAGGCGAUAGAAGAAAGGAAAGGACCACCUCUUGGGAAUGGCAAACACGGAUUCUCACCACCACCAGAAAUUAGCUCUCCACAAAAGUAUAGUUAAGAUGGUGACACACCCGUGAUUUACGUUAUAGAAGAGAAAAUACCUCCAUAGAGAACUUUGUUCUAGGUCAAAACCUGCUCCGGACUUGUUUAUUCCACCUUUCCGCUUUAGAGCAACAGACAAAAUACUUGGCCCGCUCACAGUUACCUCCUGCAGGGGUGGUGAGGGGGUGAGCAGACCCGGAGGACUGGGCUCCCCACACAGUGACAGGGGUGGUGAGGGGGUGAGCAGACCCGGAGGACUGGGCUCCCCACACUGUGACAGGG
ensembl:lncRNA